ACAGCAGGCCACCUUAUCGCUGCAAGUAUGGGCAACUAUGCUUGAAGAGGAAAGUCCGGACACCAGAGUGCGGCAUAGCGGGUAACGCCCGUCCGCCGUAAGGCGAGGACCAGUGCAACAGAAAGCAAGUACAGUUCGGCUGUAGUGAAAUCAGGUAAACUCUAUGCGGUGAAACGUCAUGUAAACCAAUGCUCGAGGGCUGCACGCCCGAGUUGGAGGGUAGGCGGUUGGAACACUUGGGCAACCAUUUGUCUAGAUAAAUGAUAAGGAGUUCCCAAAAUUAAUUUGGGAUGCACAGAAUCCGGCUUAUGGCCUGCUUUUAUU
rnacentral:RNase_P_RNA from 1 species